UUGGUGGGGUGAUGGCCUACCAAGGCGACGACGGGUAGCCGGCCUGAGAGGGUGUCCGGCCACACUGGGACUGAGAUACGGCCCAGACUCCUACGGGAGGCAGCAGUGGGGAAUAUUGCACAAUGGGCGCAAGCCUGAUGCAGCGACGCCGCGUGGGGGAUGACGGCCUUCGGGUUGUAAACCCCUUUCAGCACAGACGAAGCGCAAGUGACGGUAUGUGCAGAAGAAGCACCGGCCAACUACGUGCCAGCAGCCGCGGUAAUACGUAGGGUGCGAGCGUUGUCCGGAAUUACUGGGCGUAAAGAGCUCGUAGGUGGUUUGUCGCGUUGUCCGUGAAAACUCACAGCUUAACUGUGGGCGUGCGGGCGAUACGGGCAGACUGGAGUACUGCAGGGGAGACUGGAAUUCCUGGUGUAGCGGUGGAAUGCGCAGAUAUCAGGAGGAACACCGGUGGCGAAGGCGGGUCUCUGGGCAGUAACUGACGCUGAGGAGCGAAAGCGUGGGGAGCGAACAGGAUUAGAUACCCUGGUAGUCCACGCCGUAAACGGUGGGUACUAGGUGUGGGUUUCCUUCCUUGGGAUCCGUGCCGUAGCUAACGCAUUAAGUACCCCGCCUGGGGAGUACGG
rnacentral:rRNA from 1 species